CCUACGGGAGGCAGCAGUAGGGAAUAUUGCUCAAUGGGCGUAACCCUGAAGCAGCAACGUCGCGUGGAGGAUGAAGGUUUUCUGAUUCGAAAACCUUUUUGUUAGAGAAGUUAAUUGUGGUAUGUGACCUGUAUUCUCUGUCUAACUCGGUUCCAGCUGCGGUGGCACCACGGAGGCAGCAAGCGUAACACGGAAUCACUGGGCGUAAACCGGGCGUAGGCGGGUUAGCAAGUCAGUUGUGAAAGCCUUUGGCUUAACCAUAGAAUUGCAGUUGAAACUGUUAGUCUAGAGUAUGUGUGAGGUAGGUGGAAUGCUUGGUGUAGGGGUAAAAUCCGUAGAGAUCAAGAAGAAUACUCAUUGCGAAGGCGACCUGCUAGGACAUAACUGACGCUGAUGCGCGAAAGCGUGGGGAGCAAACAGGAUUAGAUACCCCAGUAGUC
rnacentral:rRNA from 1 species